rnacentral:lncRNA from 1 species
GUAAGUACACCUAUGACAAACGCGAAGCUGCAUCCUAGUGCCGUGAGAAGUUAAAAACAAGAGGGCUCUUUUAAUUUCUUGUCUGAGGAACAAGUGUUUGGAUGGAGACUUAGCUAAGACCCUCCAGGGAAGACCACAGAAAACAACAACCAAAAAGGUCUAACCAGGCCCCCUUCUGGGUGACCUCCACUAAACACUGUUCUCCACCUUCUCCUCGUAAUCCAAAUCCUCCACCCCACCGUGUCUGCCCACCACCUGUGAACAGGCCAGAUCAGGAGAGGACUCUUAGGCGGGUGGCCCAGGUACUCUCUUCCUGGUGGCAGGUGACAAACCUUUCUCCACUCUCACA